AUAUCAAUAAGCGGAGGAAAAGAAACUAACAAGGAUUCCCCUAGUAACGGCGAGUGAACCGGGAUGAGCUCAAAUUUGAAAUCUGGCGUCCUCAGGGCGUCCGAGUUGUAAUCUAUAGAGGCGUUUUCCGUGCCGGACCGUGUCCAAGUCCCUUGGAACAGGGUAUCAAAGAGGGUGACAAUCCCGUACUUGACACGACGACCGGUGCUCUGUGAUACGUCUUCUACGAGUCGAGUUGUUUGGGAAUGCAGCUCAAAAUGGGUGGUGAGUUCCAUCUAAAGCUAAAUAUUGGCGAGAGACCGAUAGCGAACAAGUACCGUGAGGGAAAGAUGAAAAGCACUUUGGAAAGAGAGUUAAACAGUACGUGAAAUUGUUGAAAGGGAAACGAUUGAAGUCAGUCGUGACUGUUGGGCUCAGCAGGUUCUGCCUGUGUAUUCCCCUCAGUCGGGUCAACAUCAGUUUUGACCGGUGGAUAAGGGCAGCGGGAAUGUGGCACCCUCGGGUGUGUUAUAGCCUGUCGUCGCAUACAUCGGUUGAGACUGAGGAACGCAGCUCGCCCUUGAGGCCGGGGUUCGCCCACGUCCGAGCUUAGGAUGUUGACAUAAU
rnacentral:rRNA from 1 species